rfam:Coniochaeta ligniaria NRRL 30616 unplaced genomic scaffold CONLIGscaffold_12, whole genome shotgun sequence.
GCCCCCGUGGCCUAAAGGCUAAGGCGCAAGAUUUCUAAUCUUGGGAUUGCGGGUUCGAGUCCCGCCGGGGGUU